UAAAAGUGUAGUUUAAUUGGUAAAACAGGAAGCUUCAAACUUUUAGUUUUCAGUUCGAGUCUGAGCACUUUUGU
rnacentral:tRNA from 1 species